rnacentral:rRNA from 1 species
AGUGAACGCUGGCGGUAGGCCUAACACAUGCAGGUCGAACGGCAGCACAGUAAGAGCUUGCUCUUACGGGUGGCGAGUGGCGGACGGGUGAGGAAUACAUCGGAAUCUACUUUUUCGUGGGGGAUAACGUAGGGAAACUUACGCUAAUACCGCAUACGACCUACGGGUGAAAGCAUGGGAUCUUCGGACCUUGCGCGAUUGAAUGAGCCGAUGUCGGAUUAGCUAGUUGGCGGGGUAAAGGCCCACCAAGGCGACGAUCCGUAGCUGGUCUGAGAGGAUGAUCAGCCACACUGGAACUGAGACACGGUCCAGACUCCUACGGGAGGGCGCAGUGGGGAAUAUUGGACAAUGGGCGCAAGCAUGAUCCAGCCAGACCGCGUGGGUGAAGAAGGCCUUCGGGUUGUAAAGCCCUUUUGUUGGGAAAGAAAAGCAGCAGGUUAAUACCCAGCUGUUCUGACGGUAACCAAAGAAUAAGCACCGGCUAACUUCGUG